GAGAGUCAGAAAGAUGAUGAAUCAAAAGAAAGCAUAUCCAUUUGUAAAUCUAUGCGACCAUUAAAGAUUCCCGCUGUUUUUAUGAUGGAGUUUACCUCUGUUAUCGGUUGCUUGUGUUAUGGUUUCACACAACCAAUCUUGGCGCCUCAGUUAAGGAAGCUGGGUCAAAAUAGCGUACAGAUUGGUCUUGUUUUCUUCUUAUUUGCCGGUUUUAACGCCCUCUCAGCGUUAGCAUUGGGCU